rnacentral:tRNA from 1 species
CGUCUCAGUAGCUCAAUUGGAUAGAGCAUCCCCCUCCUAAGGGGAAGGUUGCAGGUUCUUAUCUGGGGUGGGGUACAGUCUCCUAUGAGACUA